CAAAACACAAAUGAUGUUCAGCAUUAUUGUCUAUGUUGACAAGAUAACUAGGGUUUGAAACGUGGCAAGUAAUAUAAAUGAAGGCAUGUAGACGAAAUAAGGAACACAGAGUGAGAGCAGUAUAUUGGAGCUACUCUCUGACUUGUGGCAUUGGUGACACAGCACCAGACAAUGCUUUUUUAUGUGCUUUUUACUGAUAGGCAGGUCAGGUUUGGCAAAUAAGUUGGGUUGUAUACAGAUCUUUGGACCUGAGAAGACUUGCAAAUGGGAAUAAAGUGCUAAUAGGCAAAUUUGUUGUUGUACCGGUGAAUGGAUUUACUAUCAAUUCAGUUUUUACUAUAAGUCCAAUGAGUAGAAGAACUGGACUGAGAGCAGACAAGACUGUUUGAAGAAAGGAGCAGAUCUGAUCAUCAUAAACAACAGAACAGAACAAGAUUUUGUUAUGAAUAUUACUAAUAAAACAGCAUUCUGGAUUGGUGUGACUGACACUGAUGUGGAGGACAGCUGGAAAUGGGUUGAUGGCAGCAACAUGACCUCUGGGUUCUGGGCAACCAGUGAAGAAAUAAAAGAGCCAAAAGGAGGAAAAUUAGAGAACUGUGCUGUGUCUUAUAUACCAAUGUCGACUGAAAUAACAGGGUGGCAUGAUGUUAAAUGUGAUCAAACUUAUAACUGGAUCUGUGAAAAGAGUAUUAUACCUCUCAUACAGAGAGAAACAUCAUAAACAAGUUUUCUUCCUGUUUUUUUUUUUGGUGACCUUAUUAAAAGUACCAAACAUUCAGAAUGAAUGAUUAUCAUCUAUAGCAUUGCUGCUGCUGAAGUGUCACCUUUAAAGCAAAUUGUAGAUCUACCCAAUAUUGUUUUUUGUAUCACUUAUAUGCUAUUACAGUUUUUAUUAAUAUUUUGUAUUUGUUUGCAUUUUUAUGUCUGUUUUCAU